ACAGCAGUGAAAAUAGUGUUUGUGUUUGGCGAACAAACCUUGCAGCAAAAGCGCAUGUACGCAUGCGCGUGAGAGUCGUUUGUUGGAUCAGGUUUAAAUUCCAGCGCAGCAAUGGCAGAGCUCCUCCGAAACAUCAUAUUCAGGCGAUUUUCCUUCAUCAAAGUUAUGGGCCAUUGGAAAACCACACAGCUACAAUGAAGAUGGGAAUCCUUGAAACAGUUAGCAUCAGGAGCAUGGUGAAGUUUAAGAGCCCUGUCAACUGUGCUGAAUGUCUGCUGUCCUGGAAGAGGAGAUGGUGCUCGACAAUAGGAGGCUUUAUCAAUGCAUCGUUUGUGCUUUUGGAUUAUAGUAUCUACUCAACCUGGAAUACAAUGACUAAAUAGGUUUACAUGGUAAAUAUUUGAAACAGAUGCAGCUUUAUGCGCUUGAAGUUCCUCUUGAAGAUUUUUUUUUUACUUUUCUUGAAACUUUGUGAGUUUUUUUUUCUGUUCUGGAAUCAUCUGUGUCAACUGGGUAAAGUAACCCAUUGUUUAGAUUUAAUGGUGCUUUUGACGAUUUUAAUAUUCAUUUAUUAAUUUUCCUUCAGCUUAGUCCCCUGUUUAUCAGGGGGAGCCACAGCGGAAUGAACCGUUCAUUGUUUAUAUGCAAAUAUAUUAGAUGUUUAAUGUUAAUGAAUGGGUUUAACCAUUAAAAAUGUGAUUUCAUAAGUUCAGAUUAUCUUUUGUAGAAUGGAAGUAUUCAGGUGACAACACUAAACAAUGGUUAAAGUAACCUCACAAAAAUACUCACAUUUUAUGCUGUUUUUUUAUUUUUUUUAUAUAUAUAUAUUUUUUUUUUUUGCAGAUAUUUGGAAUAUAUAUUAAGUACACUUCAGCUCCAUGUAUUGACCUUUUUCCUCACGUACGAGCAGGCGCAGCCAUUUGAAUCUUUUAGGCUGGAGAUUUCCGCUCUCAUUCACUUCCUUUGAUUUUUAGAUGUUAAAAAACUGUUUGUUUUGAUGCUUGAUGUUGCAAACUGAUAUUUUCUUAAUAUAUUAUUCUGCUUUGUCUGUAGAGUCAUAAACACACUAGUUUGUAGAGCAAGUAGUUUGUCUGUUUUCCGCUGUUUAAUAUUCCUAGUCAUUUCUCCCUUAGGGCACUGAAUCAGAUGUUCGAAAACAAAUCGGAAAAACUUCCGCCUUAAAGAAUGAGGUCCAUAUUAGGAGAAAUUAAAUGCUAGAAUUUAUACGGUAUACUUUGUUGAAAUGUGUAAUGUAUUUGUUAUUCUAAAGUACUUUUACAAUAGUGUCUCUUUAAUAUAAAUAAAUAAAUGUGGCAGUGUUUAGUGUAUUAUGAUUUCUAUAUUCUAUUAUUCAUUUUCUUUUGGGACAACGAGGAGUAAACAAUUCAGUAAAGUUGCUUUAGCAUUGUUUACCAAUAUACAAUUAACCACUAUACAUUUUUAAAUUAGGUGAAACAAAAAAAG
rnacentral:lncRNA from 1 species